rfam:Flavobacterium sp. EM1308 contig00004, whole genome shotgun sequence.
AUUUAGCCCCGAUAGAAGUGAAAAUCCUUGUAAGUCUCGUCUUUUGGGACGAGACUUACAAGAUUGUAGCGGAUAGCGGGACUUAUG